GACGUAGGGCGCGAGCGUUGUCCGGAUUUAUUGGGCGUAAAGAGCUCGUAGGCGGCUUGUCGCGUCGACCGUGAAAACUUGGGGCUCAACCCCAAGCCUGCGGUCGAUACGGGCAGGCUCGAGUUCGGUAGGGGAGACUGGAAUUCCUGGUGUAGCGGUGAAAUGCGCAGAUAUCAGGAGGAACACCGAUGGCGAAGGCAGGUCUCUGGGCCACUACUGACGCUGAGGAGCGAAAGCGUGGGGAGCAAACAGG
rnacentral:rRNA from 1 species